rnacentral:rRNA from 1 species
AAGGGUGGCGUAGGUGGUUUGAUAAGUCAGUGGUGAAAGCCGGUUGCUCAACAAUCGAGUUGCCAUUGAUACUGUCGGACUUGAGAGAAGUGGAGGUUCAUGGAAUGGAUGGUGUAGCGGUGAAAUGCAUAGAUAUCAUCCAGAACGUCGAUUGCGAAGGCAGUGGGCUGUACUUUUUCUGACACUGAGGCACGAAAGCGUGGGGAUCAAACAGGAUUAGAUACCCUAGU